rnacentral:rRNA from 1 species
GAACGCUGGCGGCGUGCCUAAUACAUGCAAGUCGAACGCUUCACUUCGGUGAAGAGUGGCGAACGGGUGAGUAAUACAUAAGUAACCUGGCAUCUACAGGGGGAUAACUGAUGGAAACGUCAGCUAAGACCGCAUAGGUGUAGAGAUCGCAUGAACUCUAUAUGAAAAGUGCUACGGGACUGGUAGAUGAUGGACUUAUGGCGCAUUAGCUUGUUGGUAGGGUAACGGCCUACCAAGGCGACGAUGCGUAGCCGACCUGAGAGGGUGACCGGCCACACUGGGACUGAGACACGGCCCAGACUCCUACGGGAGGCAGCAGUAGGGAAUUUUCGGCAAUGGGGGAAACCCUGACCGAGCAACGCCGCGUGAAGGAAGAAGUAAUUCGUUAUGUAAACUUCUGUCAUAGAGGAAGAACGGUGGAUAUAGGGAAUGAUAUCCAAGUGACGGUACUCUAUAAGAAAGCCACGGCUAACUACGUGCCAGCAGCCGCGGUAAUACGUAGGUGGCGAGCGUUAUCCGGAAUUAUUGGGCGUAAAGAGGGAGCAGGCGGCACUAAGGGUCUGUGGUGAAAGAUCGAAGCUUAACUUCGGUAAGCCAUGGAAACCGUAGAGCUAGAGUGUGUGAGAGGAUCGUGGAAUUCCAUGUGUAGCGGUGAAAUGCGUAGAUAUAUGGAGGAACACCAGUGGCGAAGGCGACGAUCUGGCGCAUAACUGACGCUCAGUCCCGAAAGCGUGGGGAGCAAAUAGGAUUAGAUACCCUAGUAGUCCACGCCGUAAACGAUGAGUACUAAGUGUUGGGUGUCAAAGCUCAGUGCUGCAGUUAACGCAAUAAGUACUCCGCCU